UUUGUAUUCUUCCGCGAGAACAAUUUUUCAGAGUCACUACAAACAAACAAAUUAGAUGAAGUUGAUGCGGAGAACUUUAUUAUUCGCAGUUUUCUCGGGCUUAAGGCGGCAACUUCUCUUCAAGUCUAAACGACGACAUGAGUUUUAUGGACGCCUAUGUUUGAUCAUACGAGUUGACUUCUUAAUCCUGAGUCUUAUCAGCACGUUCCGUAAUCUCGUAAUUAUACGUAAGAUCAGGUCGCAAACGUUGACGUCAUAGAAACUCAGAUGUAAUUUAAUGCUUAUCUUGUGAACGUUCGAGCUGUAAUGUU